rnacentral:lncRNA from 1 species
GGGAGGAGAGUCUAACCCAACUUUGGGAUGAUUAAUUUAUGUUGAUUCCCCUUUGUCUGUUUGCUGACCUUCAGGGAAGGGGUGGAGUACCUAGGGCCUAGCCAGAGGGCUGAGCCUCUUAUGACUGGAAGUGGAACGGGAGAACCAAAAGCAGCCUGGGGAGAAGCCUGGGCACCAGUUACCCUGAAAGAAGAGUGAGGUUGAAGAAGAACCCAGGAGGGGUGGAAGAUGCUGUACUGGUGACUAGUAUUGUGGUGGACAUUGGGACACUAAUCCCACUGACUACACGUGACUGGACUGAAGGGCUGAAUCACUAA